rnacentral:piRNA from 2 species
UGAGGUAACCUCUGCCUAGUCACUCUCACU